rnacentral:rRNA from 1 species
UACAGAGGGGGCAAGCGUUGUUCGGAAUUACUGGGCGUAAAGGGCGCGUAGGCGGCCUUCUAAGUCGAACGUGAAAUCCCCGGGCUCAACCCGGGAACUGCGUCCGAUACUGGAAGGCUUGAAUCCGGGAGAGGGAUGCGGAAUUCCAGGUGUAGAGGUGAAAUUCGUAGAUAUCGGGAGGAACACCGGUGGCGAAGGCGGCGAUCUGGGUCGAUACUGACGCUGAGGUGCGAAAGCGUGGGGAGCAAACAGG